AGCUCUCCCUCACGUUCUCUCUCUCCAUUUAUCUCCCACGCGCGCAGCUUCCUUGUCUUCAAUUUCCUGGCAGCGGUGCUCCUCUCCCUCGCCGUGCAGCUCCCGCGCGAGCUCCUCUGCUGGCCGCUGCUGCUCGGCUUCCAGCUCGCCAUGUCCAUCUCCCUGCUGCCGCUCGCCCAUAGCGCCCUCGCCUUCCAACAGCCAGCGACGCCAGCCCUCUCCCUGCUUGCAUUCGUACAGAACCGCGCAGCUCCUGUGCUGAGCUCUGCAGCCGUGCUUCCUCCAACAGCAGCUGCGUCACCAGGCCCUCAACGUCGUGCUGUGCGCUGGGACAGUCCAUAGCUCGCCUGCGUGCCCAGCCGUCUCGAAUCAUGUCGUCGAUUCUCGGCACCGCGAGCUCACCUUCCCUUACACACAUCUCUACAGACACUGCCUCAUCACGCGUCUGCGUCAUCGAUUUCGUCGUCGUUCCUUGCGUUAUUAAGAAAUCCCAAGAGUUAGAUGAAACACGAAGCUAGCAGCGUGAAAUUUACCAAGUACUCGACGAAAAGCCUGCACUAGAAAGCAUCGUGGUUCUUGCGGAGUUCGCGUCUGAUUUUACUAAUGAAAAAUUUCAGUGUGUCUCGGAGAAGAAGAAGGUGACGUUCCGAUGCGUCACUAAGUGUUCGAUCAAAGACUUCAAUCGGAGCUUGUCAUCGUUCUUGCAAAUAUUGAGUCGAUAUUGAUUAUGGUGAGCAAAUUCUCUAUGUUAUUACUUUGUUUUAAUGAAUGGAUUGAUAGAUAUGUAGGUUUCGAUGAUUCUCGUACUUUUAGCAAGAGCAAUACAUGUUGAUUUAAUCGCAUCAUCUAGUAUUCGUUAGUUCGUAGGUUAUGUGUGGAGGAUUAAAUUGGUAUUCCAUAUCCGAUGUAUGGUCGAAUUAAUAUUACAGAGAAUAAGUCUUGUGUUUCUAACGUCUAGCCGAUAGGUGCUUUUAGUAUUGCGUAUGACGGAUUCAUUUGUUUGUAUGGAGUCGAUGACCUGAUGUGAUAGUCGUUAUGUUCUAUGUUUGCUGAUCGAUGAAAUGUCAUAGAUGGAUCGUUGACCGUUUAGAUUAAUAAUCUUGAAUAAAUAUGUGUGGUGCGAAAUAAAAUUAAAAUAGUUCUUUGUGAGCGAUGUGGUAUAAAUUAUAAAGCGAGGGAUAAGUUUAGCAUUGAAUUAAUUAGCCGAUAAGUUGUGUUUAGGCUAAUUGUGCUAAAUGUGUAUAGUUUGCUGUUUUGUGAUGUUUAUGUUAGAUUCGGUUAAUCUAGAGAAGCGUGAUUAUUGCGCUUAGUCGUAUGUCAAUAACUAGUGUUUGCUGAUGAAGUGUUAGAAUGCCUCAUCAUUAAGUACCUAAUGUUAUAUUGCGGAGCAUCAAAAUAUCUUACGUUACUCUUUCUUGUUCUCAUUCAUGUGCAUUAUGCAUAUCAAUUAGGUACGUUAAUUGAUCGUGUGAUGCGGAAGACGAGCCAAGUCGACCACAAGAUGUCGCUACGCGUGAGCUUCUCCACAAGAUGAUGCUGAUGGACGAACCUGAAGAUGGAUAAUCUGAACGAGUGUCAAGACAAAGGAUGGUCGUCAAGUGGACGUCAUCUAACAAACACUAACGCAGUGUUUAUUCUAGGCAAGCCCCGGUGCAUGCAAUCCCUUUCCUUGUGUUUUUAAAUGAUUUUUACACACUUUAAGUCUAGCGAAAUGUGCAUUGAGUUUAUAGGAGUUGCUUGGAAACCCUUUGAUGCAUUGGCUACCAUGAAAUCCAUUCCUUUUAUAGAUACUUCUGGUGAAGUAUCAAAUAUGAUUUACAGAAUUACUUAGCCCUGCCUAGAG
rnacentral:lncRNA from 1 species